CAGCAUUUUUUUUUUCUGAUUGGAUUUGACAAUUGAAAGAACUGAAACUUUGUUGUUGUUAUUCAGCAAAUAAAAAAAUAAUGGUCGUGCGGCUCAACCAGCUUGUUUUAUCCAGAAUUUGAUUUUGUUUGGUGUUCGGCGUUUGUGAUGUUCAGGUCCGCGAUGGCACAGCUCAGCCCAGCCUCCACUGAGUAGCAUUACCAGCGGCAAUCAACGGAAUGUGAAUAUUACACACAAACAGCUGCAACCAAGUGGUUCCGACUAAGUUGGGUAGAAUUACACGAAUCGAUGUAUGAUCGCAUAUUUUUGAAAUGCGAUAAUGAAUCUAGCAACACAGUUCUGAUUUUGUUGUGCUCGGACGGCUCGGACUAACAAGCUGCCAUUUUUAUUUUACCGCAACCGAUGAAUACUGUUUGUUUGGAAAAUCAUUGACGGCAAUGUUAUACAUUGUAAUCAGCAUUCUUAAAUAAAGAAACAUCUAAAUCAGCCUACAAGCCAUAGAGAACGCCGUCAGGAAUGAAUCUGCGAUAAUCGAGAAUCGGGAAAAUGCCAGAUCGAGCGAAAGGAAAACGGUUCGAGUACGAAAAACCGCCACCAACUUGAUCAGCAGGUAGUCCACCAAAUGCGUUGGCACCAACUACGUCCCGCCUGCUGCACUUCGGACUAGCGAUGGAUCGGAGAUCGUGCUACGGUAGCCGCUCGCUGUACCAUGUUGCGCUAACAAAUUCUCGACCUCGAAUCAUCCGGAAGAACAAAUAAAAAGAAAGUAUAACUGGAAGAUGGAGAUAUCUAUGUACACAACUUCCCCCACAGCAACGUUCCGUCAACAGAUACCGGGAAACUAAACCUGUUUGGAUGAAGAUAACGAUUCCAUCGCAAUAGCACCGGUCAAAGCGAAUCGUAGAAUCAAGGCGGUGGUUCAUGCUGACUGAAAACCUUUCAUCGGGAUGGAUUCGGAAAGAAAACCACAACGGGAUUGCUCCGACAUACGUGCCCGAACGGAAACCGUCACCAGGCAGGAGAAUCAGGAAUCCAGCCGAAGUUUAUAUACCAUUCCGGGGCCCAUAAGGACAUCUUGUCAUAUAGAUCCACCGAAACGCCGAGUGGAUGUUGCAGCGCGAGUUGUUCGGGUUGGUGCACCAGUCGGACAAGGAUCCACGGUUUAGCGCUGCGGAUAUGGCAGAAGAAGUACCAUCCCCGACCGUAAUACCGUUUUGCAUGGGAUGUCGCGAGACACCUUUGAUGUAUUGGGCUCAAGACUUGUACGACCAGCUCACAAUGGUUCACAGUCUACUCAGGAAGUCAGCACACAAGAUCGAGCGUCUUCUCGCUAGCAUCACUCUGGUUAUCAAUACGAAGGCCUAUUACUGUUAAAACCGAUAAUAUAUAACAAAUAAAUACAAUUUAAUACUUUUCGUUUAAACAUUCUUUA